rnacentral:rRNA from 1 species
GACGAACGCUGGCGGCGUGCUUAACACAUGCAAGUCGAACGGUAAGGCCCUGCUUUUUUUGGUGGCUGGAGUGGCGAACGGAUGAGUAACACGUGAGUAGCCUGCCCUGGACUUUGGGAUAACUUCAGGAAACUGGGGCGAAGACCGGAUAGGAUCUCCUGCUUCAUUGUGGUGGUUGGAAAGUUUCGGCGGUUGGGGAUGGACUCGCGGCGUAUGAGCUUGUUGGGGGGGUAGUGGCUUACCAAGGCUUUGAAGGGUAGCCGGCCUGAGAGGGUGACCGGCCACAUUGGGACUGAGAUACGGCCCAGACUCCUACGGGAGGCAGCAGUGGGGAAUAGUGCACAAUGGGCGGAAGCCUGAUGCAGCAACGCCGCGUGCGGGAUGACGGCCUUCGGGUUGUAAACCGCUUUCGCCUGUGACGAAGCGUGAGUGACGGUAAUGGGUAAAGAAGCACCGGCUAACUACGUG